GCCCAAACUCCUACGGGAGGCAGCAGUGGGGAAUAUUGGACAAUGGGCGAAAGCCUGAUCCAGCCAUGCCGCGUGAGUGAUGAAGGCCUUAGGGUUGUAAAGCUCUUUUGCCCGGGAAGAUAAUGACGGUACCGGGAGAAUAAGCCCCGGCUAACUUCG
rnacentral:rRNA from 1 species